rnacentral:tRNA from 1 species
GGAUUGUGGCUCAGUGGUAGAGUACUUGCCUAGCAUGUGUGAGGUACUGGGUUCGAUUCUCAGCACCA